GACGAACGCUGGCGGCGUGCUUAACACAUGCAAGUCGAGCGGAAAGGCCACUUCGGUGGUACUCGAGCGGCGAACGGGUGAGUAACACGUGAGUAAUCUGCCCCUCACUUUGGGAUAGCCUCCGGAAACGGUGAUUAAUACCGGAUAUGACCAUAUGUCGCAUGGCGUGUGGUGGAAAGUUUUUCGGUGAGGGAUGUGCUCGCGGCCUAUCAGCUUGAUGGUGAGGUAAUGGCUCACCAUGGCUUCGACGGGUAGCCGGCCUGAGAGGGUGACCGGUCACACUGGGACUGAGACACGGCCCAGACUCCUACGGGAGGCAGCAGUGGGGAAUAUUGGACAAUGGGCGGAAGCCUGAUCCAGCAACGCCGCGUGAGGGAUGACGGCCUUCGGGUUGUAAACCUCUUUCAGUACCGACGAAGCGCAAGUGACGGUAGGUACAGAAGAAGCACCGGCCAACUACGUG
rnacentral:rRNA from 1 species